GUGUCAGCAGCCGCGGUAAUACGGAGGGGGCUAGCGUUGUUCGGAAUUACUGGGCGUAAAGCGCGCGUAGGCGGCUUUGUAAGUUAGAGGUGAAAGCCCGGAGCUUAACUCCGGAACUGCCUUUAAGACUGCAUCGCUAGAAUUGUGGAGAGGUGAGUGGAAUUCCGAGUGUAGAGGUGAAAUUCGUAGAUAUUCGGAAGAACACCAGUGGCGAAGGCGACUCACUGGACACAUAUUGACGCUGAGGUGCGAAAGCGUGGGGAGCAAACAGGAUUAGAUACCCCAGUAGUCC
rnacentral:rRNA from 1 species